rnacentral:rRNA from 1 species
AACGAACGCUGGCGGCGUGGAUAAGACAUGCAAGUCGAACGAGAGAAUUGCUAGCUUGCUAAUAAUUCUCUAGUGGCGCACGGGUGAGUAACACGUGAGUAACCUGCCCCCGAGAGCGGGAUAGCCCUGGGAAACUGGGAUUAAUACCGCAUAGUAUCGAAAGAUUAAAGCAGCAAUGCGCUUGGGGAUGGGCUCGCGGCCUAUUAGUUAGUUGGUGAGGUAACGGCUCACCAAGGCGAUGACGGGUAGCCGGUCUGAGAGGAUGUCCGGCCACACUGGAACUGAGACACGGUCCAGACACCUACGGGUGGCAGCAGUCGAGAAUCAUUCACAAUGGGGGAAACCCUGAUGGUGCGACGCCGCGUGGGGAAUGAAGGUCUUCGGAUUGUAAACCCCUGUCAUGUGGGAGCAAAUUAAAAAGAUAGUACCACAAGAGGAAGAGACGGCUAACUCUGUGCCAGCAGCCGCGGUAAUACAGAGGUCUCAAGCGUUGUUCGGAAUCACUGGGCGUAAAGCGUGCGUAGGCUGUUUCGUAAGUCGUGUGUGAAAGGCGCGGGCUCAACCCGCGGACGGCACAUGAUACUGCGAGACUAGAGUAAUGGAGGGGGAACCGGAAUUCUCGGUGUAGCAGUGAAAUGCGUAGAUAUCGAGAGGAACACUCGUGGCGAAGGCGGGUUCCUGGACAUUAACUGACGCUGAGGCACGAAGGCCAGGGGAGCGAAAAGGGAUUAGAUACCCCUGUAGUCCUGGCAGUAAACGGUGCACGCUUGGUGUGCGGGGAAUCGACCCCCUGCGUGCCGGAGCUAACGCGUUAAGCGUGCCGCCUGGGGAGUACGGUCGCAAGAUUAAAACUCAAAGAAAUUGACGGGGACCCGCACAAGCGGUGGAGUAUGUGGCUUAAUUCGAUGCAACGCGAAGAACCUUACCUGGGCUUGACAUGUAAUGAACAACAUGUGAAAGCAUGCGACUCUUCGGAGGCGUUACACAGGUGCUGCAUGGCCGUCGUCAGCUCGUGUCGUGAGAUGUUUGGUUAAGUCCAGCAACGAGCGCAACCCCUGUUGCCAGUUACCAGCACGUGAAGGUGGGGACUCUGGCGAGACUGCCCAGAUCAACUGGGAGGAAGGUGGGGACGACGUCAGGUCAGUAUGGCCCUUAUGCCCAGGGCUGCACACGUACUACAAUGCCCAGUACAGAGGGGGCCGAAGCCGCGAGGCGGAGGAAAUCCUGAAAACUGGGCCCAGUUCGGACUGUAGGCUGCAACCCGCCUACACGAAGCCGGAAUCGCUAGUAAUGGCGCAUCAGCUACGGCGCCGUGAAUACGUUCCCGGGUCUUGCACU